rnacentral:rRNA from 1 species
UACAGAGGGUGCGAGCGUUAAUCGGAGUUACUGGGCGUAAAGGGCGCGUAGGCGGUCAUGUAAGUGAGAUGUGAAAUCCCUGGGCUUAACCUAGGAAUUGCAUUUUAAACUGUGUGACUAGAGUACAGUAGAGGGUGGCGGAAUUUCCGGUGUAGCGAUGAAAUGCGUAGAGAUCGGAAGGAACACCAGUGGCGAAGGCGGCCACCUGGACUGAUACUGACGCUGAAGCGCGAGAGCGUGGGGAGCAAACAGG